GGGUAGAGCACUGUUUCGGCUAGGGGGCCAUCCCGGCUUACCAACCCGAUGCAAACUGCGAAUACCGGAGAAUGUUAUCACGGGAGACACACGGCGGGUGCUAACGUCCGUCGUGAAGAGGGAAACAACCCAGACCGCCAGCUAAGGUCCCAAAGUCAUGGUUAAGUGGGAAACGAUGUGGGAAGGCCCAGACAGCCAGGAUGUUGGCUUAGAAGCAGCCAUCAUUUAAAGAAAGCGUAAUAGCUCACUGGUCGAGUCGGCCUGCGCGGAAGAUGUAACGGGGCUAAACCAUGCACCGAAGCUGCGGCAGCGAACGUAUCACUUAAAGCGAUUCAGCGGGUUACGAUUGACGGAGCGAAGCGACGUCAAAGCGUAUACAAAGUCGAGUCGGUUUAAGGAUACGUUCGUUGGGUAGGGGAGCGUUCUGUAAGCCUGUGAAGGUGGCC
rnacentral:rRNA from 1 species